UACGUAGGGACCAAGCGUUGUUCGGAUUUACUGGGCGUAAAGGGCGCGUAGGCGGCGUGACAAGUCACUUGUGAAAUCUCUGAGCUUAACUCAGAACGGCCAAGUGAAACUGUUGUGCUAGAGUGCAGAAGGGGCAAUCGGAAUUCUUGGUGUAGCGGUGAAAUUCGUAGAUAUCAAGUGGAACACCGGUGGCGAAGGCGGCCAUCUGGACGGUGACUGACGCUGAGACGCGAAAGCGUGGGUAGCAAACAGG
rnacentral:rRNA from 1 species